AUUUUGCAAAGGCAGAAAGAUGAAGAACAUUAAUGCACUACGGUUUGUUUUCCUGCAGGGUCAUACCAUUGUCUUUGCCCUUCACAAAGCUCUCCCACUCUCUGAACCACUGCAUGCUGAUGCACAGGAUCACCAUCGGAGCCUCUUCAGCUUGAAACUCUUUGUUCAGCUACAGACAAGAGAAAACCCGUUCAACAUCCAACACAAAGCAUGAAGACACAUUUAAGCACAGAUCAAGAUUGUAUCACACACCUCCGUGCUGACAAAGAAAUGUGUGGUUGCUUAUGGGGCCCGGUUCGGCGAAAGUGUUGAACUUGUUCAGCCAUUCUCUGGAGAUGUAAAACUGUAGCAGGCUGGGCUCCUUCAUAUUGGCCAGAGCCACCACCUUCUGCCUCUCUCGCAGCGACUCCUCGCUAGUUUUCCUGCACGAGUCCAGGAAGAAACACAGUCUGUAACAUAAUUUUGAAUAAAUAGAUUAUGUAUUAUGAUGGAGUUUUUAAAUGCUUACCUGUAGAACAACACGUAGGCCUCUGCAUUCUGCACCACUGUCUCAUGGACCUCUGUGACAUACUGGUCAUCAAACUCAUACCACUGGCCAUUGAUCACAUUCUGACAGUAAGCUAUGUAGUGUCCACCUGCAGCACCAGAAAAAGGUGCCAUGGUGACAAAUGACUGACAGCAGAUCAUAAGUGGUGACUUGGGAUGGACUCUCUUUAGCCAGGAAAGGUCGCAUGUCGAGGCCUUCCAACGGGAAGGAUACGUGGCUGCUAAUCUUGAACGAAUACAUGACCUCGUGCCGGAAGCGUUUCAGGAACCCCCUCCUCAGCUGCUGUAUCCACAUCAGCGUCCUCAUCCAUCUCUUGCGAGCCUCCACGGAGGGGUGAGCCAGACACUCUCCUUUCCUUCAGCCUCUCCUUUUCCGAGAUCACCCCGCCGGUACCGACGCCCACUAUCCCCCCUGCUGCUGACCUGACCCCGUCACACUCAUCCUGCAUUAGGAGCUCGCCGUCACCCACUCCUCCCCCCUCCCCACGGUCACUGCUGGAGCCAGAGUCGCAGGAUAAGAAUUCAUCCUCAGACGGGGAACGGUCUCCGUCUCUUAUCUCCUCCCCAUCACUUCCCUCCCUGCUCAUGCUGCACUCUGCCAGAGGCUCCUUCAGCUCUUCGUGUAAUUGGUCCAUCAGACAGCGCAGGAACUCUUGUGUGUCCUGUAGCAAGAAAAGCACAUUGCAUUCACCCAAAAUGAGGAUGCAUGAGUGUGUCUACAUGUACACAAACACAGACAGGAGUUUUGCAGAGACGAUGACUGACUAUUUCAAAACAAGAAGAUAGACAGAGAAAUGUGUGAGUAAUGUUGUAUGUGUUGUUUGCAACAAAAACCCAUUUUCUACAUUGGUAAGAAGUGGUACAAGGAGGACCUAAUCAUACCCACUGAAGACAUGUAAAACUCAUCAUUUAAAAACUUUUUGUUUGACUUUAUCAGUCAAACAAAAUCAGACACUUCCAAUUAAACAUAUAAUAAGCCUGAGUAAAACAUGAAACCAUUUCUAAACAUAAUUAUUGUAUUACAAAGAAUCAGACAAACUC